UACGUAGGGUGCAAGCGUUGUCCGGAAUUAUUGGGCGUAAAGAGCUUGUAGGCGGUUUGUCGCGUCUGCUGUGAAAUUUCGGGGCUCAACCCCGAACUUGCAGUGGGUACGGGCAGACUAGAGUGUGGUAGGGGAGACUGGAAUUCCUGGUGUAGCGGUGAAAUGCGCGGAUAUCAGGAGGAACACCGGUGGCGAAGGCGGGUCUCUGGGCCACUACUGACGCUGAGGAGCGAAAGCGUGGGGAGCAAACAGG
rnacentral:rRNA from 1 species